CCGAAGUUCAGAUGUUUAUAAAGUUGGACCUCUGAAUUUAAAAACUGCUUCUCUGACAGUGACAGAGCUUCAGUUUGUACUGACAAAAGUAGCUGCACAAAUUCUGAAUUUCUAAGAAAAAAAAAAAAGCAGGAUUUUCAAGCAGAGAUGUCCGCCCAGGUCAGACUGAGGCUGCAGCCGAGUGCCAGGUGUUUGUUCGAUGAUCCUGUUCAGGUGACGGUCACUGGACUGAGGUCGAAACAGCUGGUCACCAUGAAGGCCAGAUCGACUGAUGAGAAGGGAGUGAUGUUCAGCUCCUCGGCCACCUACAGGGCUGAUGGGAGCGGGGAGAUCCACCUGGACAGAGACCCCUCACUCAGUGGGAGCUAUGUUGGGGUUGAACCCAUGGGUCUGCUGUGGUCGAUGAAACCGGACACUUUGCACAAAAGGUUUAUAAAGACAAAUUCGCUAAUCCCUCAUGUGGUGAAAUUCUCAGUGCAUGAGGAGGAAGAGGAGGAGGAGGAGGAAGGCAGGAUGCUGGCAGAAGUGAUCAACGAGAGGUUUCUGAUCGGAGACGGGGUCAGUCGGCUCCCCGUCAAAGAGGGGAAUAUUCGCGGGGUCCUGUUUACUCCCCCAGGAAGUGGUCCAUUCCCCGCUGUGCUGGAUCUGUACACUUUUGGUGGAGGUCUGUCGGAGAAAAGGGCCUCUCUGCUGGCCAGUCGAGGAUUUGUGGUUCUGACUAUAGCGCUGUACCGCCAUGAUGACAUGCCAAAGAACAUCCAAGAGAUCCAUCUUGAUUAUUUUGAAGAAGCAAUAGAGUUUCUGAAAAGACAAGAUAAGGUGGGCAGUAAAGGAGUUGGUGUGAUAUCACUGUCAAAAAGUGGAGAUCUUGCACUGUCCAUAGCCUCCUACCUGCCAGGUGUUGAGGCCACAGUGUGGAUAAAUGGCUGCUCUGCAAAUACGCUGAUACCCCUCUACUACAAGGACAGACAAAUCCGCUCCGUGUUAACAUUUGACGCAAAGAAAGUCAUUUUCACUGAGACGGAAGCCGUCAAUAUCAAAUAUACUCAAAACAGUCCCCUGGCAGAGGAGAAUAAGGACGCCCUGAUCCCCAUUGAACAAGCAAAGGGACGUUUCCUGUUUGUGGCCUCAGAGGAGGACCUCAACUGGGACAGCAAGGCUUACAUGGACGAGAUGGUGGAGAGACUGAAGCGUCAUGGGAAGGACAACUUUGAGAGCGUGUCUUAUCCUGGAGCUGGACACUACAUGGAGCCACCUUAUGGACCCUAUUGUCCCUCCAGCUUCCAUGGGUUUGUAGGUAGGCCAGUCUUGUGGGGGGGUGAGGCCAAGACCCACGCAGCAGCUGAAGUCCACAUGUGGAAAAAGAUCCAGGAGUUCUACAGAACUCACCUGAGCUGUGAUGAUACACAGACGAAACCCAGGUUAUGAAUAAAAACAAGAUGAUAGGAAAGUCAAAGAAAAGGAACCAGUUAUCGCUGAAGCUCCCAGAUGGUGACGUAAACCUUUAAGUAAACACUGACAGCACUGUAUGAAGACCUGAUCCUGACUGUGAUGGGGAAUUUUUGGGGCACCACUUUACUUUCCACUUGUAAUUUAAACAGUAGUUUUAAUAAAUAUCGAAGAAUCUUCCAUUUUAGUAGUUUCUUGUUCCCCCCCAUAUGUAAAAAGGUGAAAGGAGGACGUUUCCAAUGAUUUUUAAACUCUCUAGCAUUGCUAAUUUUUGAUUUUUGAUGAGGUAUAAUGUCAUUGAAUAAAUGAACAGACUAGAUAAGCAGCACUAAAAAUCUGUAUUAUUUUCCGUCUAAAGGGCUAACUAGCUGACCCUAUGUUUAGCUGAUUAUGUUAUGAUGCCACAUUAGCUGAAUGUAGAACUAGCUCGGUUCAAGUCCUUGUUACUACAGCCUAAGCAUCCCUGGUAAUUUUAUCUUUAUUUUUCAGUCAGGGACUAGGGUUAAGUUGUUCCUAGGUACAUUAACGUUAAAUCAAUUGGCAAUAAUCAAACAGUUUAACAAUAAUCUGUGUUAGCAGCUAAAUCCAGAUGCAACAUCAGAUGUUAUAAAUAAAGUUAUAUCCUGUGCAAAAGCAGAAAGACUGAAUUGAUCAAAAUGAUGACUUCUCUCUUUUUCUCCCACUUUGCUGGAGGAAGAUACUUUUGCAAAUUGUACAUUUAGUUUGAUAAUAAGGUUCUGGUCUGUUACGUUUAAAUCACCCUCUAAGUUUGUACACUCACAUUUGUACAUACAUUGAUUUUAAAACUACUGUCUGUGCAUUAGGAGAACAUAGAUAUUGUUUUCAAUGGGGGAAUUUUUCCCCAUUUACCCUCAUAUUUACCCUAAUUCUAGCCCCUCUCCAGGCCUUUAGUGUGAAGCAGAAGUUUGGAGCCAAACUUCGAGAGCAGGCAGACAUAACUUGGGAGUCAAGGGAAGUUUGGAUGAGGUUAAGCCUCAAAAGACAUGACUGGUGAUGGUUCAGGUUACACUUGGCCUUUAAGUUAUUUGCACCAACAUCAAUCUGAGCAUCUCUUUAAGGUAAGAAAAGACACUUAGUGGUUUUUUGUCACAUGUGCACCUGUGAGAUUUAACAUUUUAGAGUAAUUCAAGGGAGUAAAAAUUAACUAUAUCCAGUCAUCUAACAGUUAUUUCACUUGUUUAUUGCUUUUUGAGAGGAGUUGACAGUUCUUCCAAUCGCAGCCUUAGGGUUAUUUUUUUUUAAUGCAUUGAUUAUGCUUUGCAUCGUUAAUACAAGUCUGAGUCAAAUGACCAAAUUAACGCAGUGGAGUAAAUUCAACAUAUUGGUUUCUUGUACACUGAGGUUUUUUUGGUGUUUCUUUUAAAUGCAGAUGCUAUUAACAAUGUUUCAUUUUAUUUAGAGUUGUCGGCCUUGGAGGACUCAGCACAGUUGGCCAGACCACCAUCCAGCAGCUCAUCCACGUCGUCCUCCAGCAGAUCAGGGAAAAGGAAACGGGAUGCAUCUGGUGAUCUGCUUCAGUACCUGGAGAGGUCUGAGGAAAGGUUCUUGGAAUAAAGCUGGUGAGACCAAGACCUGGCUGCUGCAAUGCUUGAAAAUAUUGAAAGGAUGGAUAACACUUGAAGCGCUUUAAUUAUUUUGAUGGGACAAGUCAUGUCGCUGCUGGAAGGGCUGGCAAAAAAAAAAAAAAAAAAAAUUCUUUUAUAUUAUAACUUUUUGUAUUCAACCCAAUUGUAUAUACUUGCACCGUGUAUAUAAAAAAAACAUGUUUAGA